GUGAGGAAAACAUGUCACAGAGAAGAGAUGUCUUAGCAGCCACAAACCUCAUAACUAAAACCUGUCAUUCAUAGUUUCAGUAAAAACAAGUUAGGCUUAGAAUCCUCACUAGUUAGAAUGUCUUGCUAAACCAGGAUCUUUACUAAAUUACUUACUGAUCAAGAGUACUUGUUUACAUCAAGAGUGGGAGAAAAAUGAAAGCUUUCGUCAUGAAUGACUAGAAGCUGCCCUCUAUGAAAACAGGAGGAAAAAUCAAGAGCGAGGAAAACAAGGGAUGCAGGAGGCAGCAGUGCCUGGAUUCAGAAGCAAAAGCAGUCUGCAGAGUGACUGGGAUGGGAAAGCUGAGGAUGAUGGAGCAAAAGGAAAAAGAUUGAGAACCAGUACAUAGCAUCCCUCUGAGAUGGAAGAAGGGUUGGUAGGAAAUCCACUAGAAGCAACAGACCACUGUGUGCUUAUGGAAUAGAAGUGUCCUCAUGGAAACACAAGUUUAAAUAACAGAUAUAAAGGAUGGAAGAGAAGAAGUCAAAGGUGUACCAUGACAUAUGUAUAGAGGUCAGAAGAUUACCUGACUGGUAAGGGUCUUGGCUCUCUCUGUGUGUCCUGUGGGUCCUGGGGAUCAUGAAGGUUAUCAAACUUCAUGGUAAGCACUAUAUCAGAGAUAUGCAUCUAGGCCAGAAGUUCUCCAACUUUGACCCACAUGAGCCCUGUCCAGGGUGCAUCAUCCACCACCAGUCUCUGUCCACCAGAUCCCUGACUCAGCACAUCUGGAAGAAGGAACGUCUGUGCAUCUGCUGAAUUCCAAGUGACAAUCAUGCUGGCCCGGGAUAUAUCUUAAGAGUCAUAAUUAUGCUUACUAAAAAUAAAAGUGACACAUUUGGAUUUGUAAUCUCUUGAA